rnacentral:rRNA from 1 species
GAUUCUGGCUCAGAACGAACGCUGGCGGCAUGGAUUAGGCAUGCAAGUCGAACGAAGUAGCAAUACUUAGUGGCGCAAGGGUGAGGAACGCGUGAGUGACCUACCCGCAAGUUUGGAACAGCUCCUGGAAACGGGAAUUAAUACCGGAUGUGAUCAAUGGACUGCAUGGUUUAUUGAUUAAAGCAGUAAUGCGCUUGCGGAUGGGCUCGCGUCCCAUUAGCUAGUUGGUGAGGUAACGGCCCACCAAGGCCAUGAUGGGUAGCUGGUCUGAGAGGACGACCAGCCACACUGGGACUGAGAACUGCCCAGACUCCUACGGGAGGCUGCAGUCGAGAAUUUUGGGCAAUGGACGAAAGUCUGACCCAGCAAUGCCGCGUGCGGGAUGAAGGUCUUCGGAUUGUAAACCGCUGUUUGGAGGGACGAAAAUUGACGGUACUUCCAGAGAAAGCCACGGCUAACUACGUGCCAGCCGCCGC